UCACUGUCAGACUGCUAUUUCACACUUAAGGCUUGGAAUGCUCAAAAGGCUGGAGCUGCUGCUAUUCUUGUUUCUGAUGAUCGCAAUGAACCUUUGAUUACCAUGGACACUCCUGAGGAAGAGGAUGCAAAGGCAGAUUAUCUGCAAAAUAUAACUAUUCCAUCAGCUCUAAUUAGUCAAUCNGGUUAAAGAUCUGAUUUUUAUGUGUAAUCUUUAGGUUUGAUAGCUCCUAGGUGUUAAUUUUGACUUUUCUUGAUCUGGGUCAUUGUCAUAUUUGUCUAUCUAGAGCUCAAGAUGAAGGAAAAGCUAGGGCUUUUGGUGUUUGUUUGGUUUCUUGUAAUUGGGUCUUGUUUGGGUAGAUUUGUGGUGGAAAAGAACAGCUUGAGAGUAACUUCUCCAGACUCAAUCAAAGAUGUGUAUGAGUGUGCAAUUGGGAAUUUUGGGGUUCCACAAUAUGGAGGUACCAUGGUUGGUAUUGUUGUCUACCCUAAAGCUAAUCAAAAGUCUUGCAAGGAUUUUGCAGAUUCUGAUAUUUCCUUCAAAACUAAGCCUGGUGGCAUGCCCAUUUUCGUCCUUGUUGAUAGAGGAGGUAAGUUUUUACCUUUUUUGCCCUUUCAAUUGACUUGUUAGAGCUUGGUUUAAUGAUGUUUGUUUGAGUUCAUACUGAGGGUGCACUUAAUCUAUUAGGUGCUCAGGAUUAUAUAGAUUAUCUUAAUUUUGUUAUGUGUAAUCAGAUUUCAGAUUUGUAAAGGUAAUUUAACUGUGUCUAGGUGGGGUAUAUAUAUAGCCCAUUCAAUUCCCAUACUAGAUUGCCUUUUGAUGAAAUUAGGAUUCUGUAGUUUAGAUUGCCUAAAUCUGCACUGGGGUGUUCAAUUCUGUACCCAGAAUAAAAGACCAGAACUGGUGAAAAUUGGACUCUUCUUGCCUGUUUAUGCCUAUUUGAAUUUCUAAUUUCUGUUGUCAAUCUUCGAGUAUAUUGAAGAUGAAGUAGCACGGUUCUUGUAUGUUGAACCCGAAGAAGAGAUGGGGAAAAAAAAGAAAUGAGCUUUUAUCUUAGCUACAUAGGUGAUUUCUAGAAUCGAAAAUCAUUGAUGGAGCAGAGUUCAGAUUAUUGUGAUGCCUUUUGAAAGUUGAUGAUGUUUUGUAGUCUUGUAACAAGCAUGCACUUGCUUUUGGCUCUUCCCAUGAACCUGAGGAAAUGUCAUCUGUGCUUGUGUUUUAUAUAUGGUUGGUUUUGCUAAUUAUUCUAUAUCUUGUAUCUGUUUCAAGUUCGAACUUCCACUUAUGGUCCACCUACUAUUAAUAAGUAUUUAAUACUGGAUAAUUAGUGAUGGAUGAUCUAAGUGGAGCUUGUUAAACCAUAUACGUAUCUAACAUGUCUUCUCUGGCCUGUGUACUGUUUCACUGUCAGACUGCUAUUUCACACUUAAGGCUUGGAAUGCUCAAAAGGCUGGAGCUGCUGCUAUUCUUGUUUCUGAUGAUCGCAAUGAACCUUUGAUUACCAUGGACACUCCUGAGGAAGAGGAUGCAAAGGCAGAUUAUCUGCAAAAUAUAACUAUUCCAUCAGCUCUAAUUAGUCAAUCGCUCGGGGAUAGCAUCAAGAAGCAGCUAUCUAAAGGGGAGAUGGUUAAUAUAAACCU
rnacentral:lncRNA from 1 species